UCACUUGUCACUGUGACUUAUCGCUUAUCUCACUAGGCUAAGUGAUUUAUCUGGGUAUCACUUCUUUCUGCAUCUGGCCUUUGUCAAUAGCAGUGAACAAAGAGAAGAAAAGGAAGCAGGAUUCUUCUUGGAGAUGUUGCAGAGGAGGAGGAGGAGGAAGAAGAAGAAGAAGAAGAAGAAGAAGAAGAAGAAGAAGAAGAAGAAGAAGAAGAAGAAGAAGAAAACGAAAAGGUGGCAGAAGAAAGAAAAAGUGGAAGAAAGAAAUAAAAAAGAAACACUUGAAGCAUUUUUAGGGUUGUAAAUCACAGGUUCUUGGAAGGCUGAGGCAAGUAGAUCACAAGUUUUAGACUCACUUAACCUACUGUCUAAAAAAAAG
ensembl:processed_transcript Platr32 pluripotency associated transcript 32